AUGAACCUCAGUUUACUAUGCAGUGCGGCAUUUUGUUUCCUGCAGGCAGGUCCAGUAAGUGCUGCCAUCAUUCAGACUCCCAAAUCGAUGCUCCUGAGGACAGGGCAACAUGUGACAAUGAACUGUACUCAGAAUAUGAAGCAUGACUCCAUGUUCUGGUACCGACAGGAUCCAGGGCUGGGGCUGAGGCUAAUCUACUACUCGUAUGAUGUUGGCAUCACUGACAAAGGAGAUGUCCCUGAGGGGUACAGCGUUUCCAGAACAAACACAAAGGACUUUCCCCUCACUCUGGAGUCAGUCUCCCCCUCCCAGACAUCUGUGUACUUCUGUGCCAGCACUUAG